UACAAAUAAUUUUAUUAAAAUCCCAUAUCAUUAUUUUAAAUAAUAAUUAAGCCGGUGAUACCGCUUUUGAAACAGACACACAAUAAGCCCAUACUUCAUCUCUUUUCUGUAAAUAUUUGGAUUCGUUUCCGAUUAAACUAGGUCUAUCCGCGAUAUAUUUGACAAGUGUGUCAUGACACUCUUUGCCUUCUUGAACAAGCUCCUUGCAACAAGGAAUGGAUACAACUCCAUCUCCAAAAACUUGAGAAAUGAUCUUGAGCGCACAGUUUGGACUGAUUUUAACAACACAUUGAUCCCAUAACUUUUUUGGCUCAUUUUCUUCUACAGCGAAUGAAGGUACACAUGUAUUCGCCACAACUAGGACAACAAAAGACAACAUAGUAAAGUUAAGCUUCGCCAUGGUUGUUAUGUGUUUGAGGAUUUACUGUUUAACUUUCCUCAAGUUAGAGAAAGAAAUAAGUUUUUAAAUUUCUGAUGUUAUUUGAAUAAACGAGGCUUGCCCUAUUUAUAGAUACGAAUAAUCAAUAUUUAACAUUUAUGUUCGACUAAUGAAUUUUGCUUUUGACGUUUUUAUCAUUAACAGGUGUUAAGUUACAUUUUUUGCUGAAGUUAUUAACUGCUUAGGCUUAUACUUUAUAAAGAAUUAAAUUAGGAUUCCUGUAGUAUACAAAUGAACACACUAAAAAGUUAUAUAAUUAUUUAAAUUAAAAACUACCGAACAUUUUUAAUGAAUUUUUUUUUUGUCAGCAACAUAUAAUUUGGUGGUUGUAUAUCAACUUACUACAAAAACCAAAAGUACACUCUAACAUUUGAUCAAUCUAGAAAUGAUUUAAAGUAUAUAUCGAUAUAUCUCUCUCUCUAUAAGAUUAAAGGAAAGAGUUUCAGAUUUUAUAUAUUUUUUAUUUCGUAAUGUAGGAUGCUUAAGAAUGUAAUUUUAUCCUUUUAAUUUUAUAAACUUUUAUAUAGGGAUGGUUAUGAGGUAAAACAUGACUCCACUUGGGAAAAUAAUCUACAAAUUUCAAUUCCUAUACAAGAAAUAAAACAUGAAAUCUAUAUAGAAUGAAAUUUAAUAAAAACUUAAAAAUAAAUUUUCGAAUUUAAACUUGCCAUAUCAUAUUUUAUCAGUUUAUAACUUACAUAAUAUUUUAAUUACUAUAUAUUUUCUCAAGGAAAUUUAUGUGUCUCAUAUUAAACAUAUAACUAGCAUAUAUAUACUUAUAUAAAUUAACGAAUGGUUAUUUUUAUUCUUGAAUGAAUUUUUUUAAUAGAGUUGAGUGCUUUUAAAAAUGGUUCAUGCACAGUUUUGAGCCGCGACUCUGUUUGUAUUUGGUUAAUGUUUCUUAAAUCAUUCUUCAAAUUGUGUAUCCGAUCAAUUUAUUCAAAAUAUAUUUAAUAACUCCAAAAUUUAAAUAUGAAAACGUAUGUGAUGGGAAAAAGAAAAUGGUAUAUAGAUUGUGCGACCACUUGAAGGUGAUACUAUAAAUGUAAUAAGUCUGUUGCGGUCUUGUGGAUUGGAGAAAUAGUAGAUUUUUAAGAUUACAAAUUAGUGUUUAUUUUGAUAUUUCAACUUAUUAAUUCAUAAAAAGUUUAAAUAUUAUUAUUUUUUUAAUUGGCAUCUAAAACUGAGAAAAGGGAACAAAUAAUGCAAAAUAAAUUAAGUAACACAAAACGAUAAAUAUCAAUAUAAAUCUCACAUGAAUAUAUUAAAAAUUAAUUUUGAAUUUGUAUGCAAAUACAAAUAAUUUUAUUAAAAUCCCAGAUCAUUAUUUUAAAUAAUAAUUAAGCCGGUGAUACCGCUUUUGAAACAGACACACAAUAAGCCCAUACUUCAUCUCUUUUCUGUAAAUAUUUGGAUUCGUUUCCGAUUAAACUAGGUCUAUCCGCGAUAUAUUUGACAAGUGUGUCAUGACACUCUUUGCCUUCUUGAACAAGCUCCUUGCAACAAGGAAUGGAUACAACUCCAUCUCCAAAAACUUGAGAAAUGAUCUUGAGCGCACAGUUUGGACUGAUUUUAACAACACAUUGAUCCCAUAACUUUUUUGGCUCAUUUUCUUCUACAGCGAAUGAAGGUACACAUGUAUUCGCCACAACUAGGACAACAAAAGACAACAUAGUAAAGUUAAGCUUCGCCAUGGUUGUUAUGUGUUUGAGGAUUUACUGUUUAACUUUCCUCAAGUUAGAGAAAGAAAUAAGUUUUUAAA
rnacentral:lncRNA from 1 species